CCAACAGGGAUUGCCUCAGUAACGGCGAGUGAAGCGGCAACAGCUCAAAUUUGAAAGCUGGCUCUUUCAGGGUCCGCGUUGUAAUUUGUAGAGGAUGCUUCGGGUGCGGCGCUGGUCUAAGUUCUUUGGAACAAGACGUCAUAGAGGGUGAGAAUCCCGUAUGUGACUAGCUGCCUGUGCCUGUGUGAAGCUCCUUCGACGAGUCGAGUUGUUUGGGAAUGCAGCUCAAAAUGGGUGGUGUACUUCAUCUAAAGCUAAAUAUUGGCCAGAGACCGAUAGCGCACAAGUAGAGUGAUCGAAAGAUGAAAAGCACUUUGGAAAGAGAGUUAAACAGUACGUGAAAUUGUUGAAAGGGAAGCGCUUGCAAUCAGACUUGCGCGGCGUCGAUCAGCCUGGGUUCUCCCUGGUGCACUCGGCGCUGCUCAGGCCAGCAUCAGUUUCAGCGGUUGGAUAAAGGCCUAGGGAACGUGGGUUACUUCGGUGACUGUUAUAGCCCUAGGUGCAAUGCAGCCUGUUGGGACUGAGGACCGCGCUUCGGCUAGGAUGCUGGCGUAAUGGUUGUAAGCGACCCGUCUUGAAACACGGACCAAGGAGUCUAACAUCUAUGCGAGUUUUUGGGUGUCAAACCCAUAAGCGUAAUGAAAGUGAACGGAGGUGAGAACCCUUAAGGGUGCAUCAUCGACCGAUCCUGAUGUCUUCGGAUGGAUUUGAGUAAGAGCAUAGCUGUUGGGACCCGAAAGAUGGUGAUCUAUACUUGAAUAGGGUGAAGCCAGAGGAAACUCUGGUGGAGGCUCGCAGCGGUUCUGACGUGCAAAUCGAUCGUCAAAUUUGGGUAUAGGGGCGAAAGACUAAUCGAA
rnacentral:rRNA from 2 species